GCAAACUUGGUCAUUUAGAGGAAGUAAAAGUCGUAACAAGGUUUCCGUAGGUGAACCUGCGGAAGGAUCAUUAAUGAAGUUUGAUGAAGAUUUUUAAUCUUCAACUUCUCACCCUUUGUUUAAUUAAAACCUUUUGUUUGCUUCGGCAUGUCAGUCUUGAUUGACGGUCGGUUGUUGAUUUUCCAUCAACUGAUUCGUUACUGCCGAUAGCCAUAUUUUAAACAUUCUUUGAUAUAAAUCAUGUCUGAAAUAUUUUUAUUUUCAAUAAAAAACAAAACUUUCAACAACGGAUCUCUUGGUUCUGGCAUCGAUGAAGAACGCAGC
rnacentral:misc_RNA from 1 species